UAGCGUAGGGGGCAAGCGUUGUCCGGAAUCAUUGGGCGUAAAGAGCGCGUAGGCGGUCCGGUAAGUCCGCUCUGAAAGUCCGGGGCUCAACCCCGGGAGGCGGGCGGAUACUGUCGGGCUAGAGUCCGGAAGAGGGCGAGUGGAAUUCCUGGUGUAGCGGUGAAAUGCGCAGAUAUCAGGAGGAACACCAAUGGCGAAGGCGGGUCUCUGGGCAGUAACUGACGCUGAGGAGCGAAAGCGUGGGGAGCGAACAGG
rnacentral:rRNA from 1 species